UGAGGAAUUACAGGGCAACUCUCCUUAAGCAAAAAUGGAUGUGCUUUUCUUUGCAUAAUUCGAUUUUGCCAAAGGAGAUUUGCCCUGCCAUUCACUCA
rnacentral:pre_miRNA from 1 species